CACUCUGUAAUGGAAGUGAAUGAUGCAGGUAUAUGGUGGGGAGCAGAAUUGGGAGGUCAUUCCAAUCUCUACUUUCCAUUCAUUCACAGGGCCAAGGAGGCAUUCCUGUUCUGGGAUUCCAUGAGAGCAUUCAUUACCCUUAAGUGGCAGAGUGGGUUUCUGUACCUGCUAUCGACAGCCCUACCUACUAUAAUCCCCUCGCUUUACACUGAGUUCAGCAGACCAUAUCAUAUGGGUUAUUGCUGCGAUAUAAUCUGGGUGAUCACGUGGCUGGGUACAUAGUGAUCAAUACAUGUUUCUCCCUAGCAGUCUGGAAAGGUUAGUGACACCAAGGGAAUUGCUUCAAUGACUCAUCAGAGCUCUGCUUCAGUCAUGCAACCUGUCUAUUAUGGAUUCAUGAUUGUUAUAAAAAUUCAGAGUCAAGAACAAUCCUAACAUACAAGCGGUCAGAUGUCAUUGUGAUCUUCAUGUCCUAAUGGAAUAUUCGAAGUUUCAUUGCCUGCAGGAUUGACAUCAGUGUCCAAGGUAAUUGCCAGAUGUUUUGACAUUAGGCUGUAAGCUCUUUUGGGGGAAAGGAUAAGCAGCUCUUUAAAACCACAAGCAGCUGUUAAAAAAUACAAUUAUUUUUUGAAAUGGAGUUUUUAUGACCACUUAAGCUCUAAGAAUUGUUUAAAGUGAUAUAAAAAGCCCCAUAAUAUCACUAUUUUAAAUUAGUCUUCAAGUGGGCCUCUUUGUAAGGAAACAGACUUUAUUAGGCCAAUAACCUCUUCUCUCUUCUUUAUCUUUGUUUUGACUAUUUUAGGCCUAGAGGAAGUCACUCCUAAGUCAAGUACAUCAUUUAAUCUCUGUACUAAUGAGGCCAGGAUGGGUGUUAAAUUUCCUGUGGCCAAUUUCAGGGUGACCAAGAGCUCACCUAAUUCUGGUAAUUUUUUGCAAAUGUGUGCCAGGCAACACGUGUCCCCUGAGAUGAAGGACAAGAGAAUAUAGCUAGAUUAAUGUAAAC
rnacentral:lncRNA from 1 species